UGGCUGUCCGGGUAUCCUGGGAGUUGAAGUUUUGCAACAUCUGGAGGGCCACGGUUUAGGACCACGGCUAUAGAUGUCUGGAAACUCUAGAGAAGGCAAUGAGGAGGAAAAGAGGAGACAGCUACAGAUGGCGGGAGAUCCUGCGUCUCCCUGGGGUCCGGGUGCCAGCGCGUUCCUCAGGAAUGCAGGGGAAGUGAGCAGCACUUAGGAGCAGAUUUCUGGUCAGAAGUAGAGUCAAUACAGAUGAAAGUGGCAGAAACAUUCUCCUUAUUACAAUGUGAAUACCACCCUUUUUUCAUUAAUUUUUUUUUAUUUUCUUUGUGACAGAUAGGCAUUAAGCGGUUAAACAUGUACCCUGCAGCUACACCAUUAAAGUUACACUUUACACCAUUCAUCUACAGAUAAUGCUUAACAUAAUGCCCUUUCAUACAUUUUAACUGCAGUACCCUGUUUGGCCAUGUGGUGUGCUGUUAAAUGGAAAUAUUUACCAUAGACGCAUUAAAAACCACAGCACAAAUAUUUAUCUUUUUUUGAUGUACUUCAUUAAACAGCGACUUUAUCACAAAGUGCAGUACAAUCACAAUGUCACAAGGUGCAGGACAAUCUGAUUACAGUUCCUCGCCGUGUGGAAACGUCUUCCACUUAAAAGAUCAACAGUAUUUAUAUUUUUACUGUGCCACUCUUCAAAUUCCAAGCUGAAUGUCAUAGACGUGUCAUAAAAUAAACCAGAAUAGCAACAAUAACUGGCCCUUAGACCCGCCAGGUAACAGAGGGGAUAAAUUUAAUUCCACAUGGCUUGGUAUUUGUCAACUUAUAAGGGGUAAUACAAUAAAAUCUAAGGCGGCCAUUUGGGACAUUAUUGGUUGAAAAGUAGCACUGAAGUCCAUAGAUUUUUCAUUCUGUAGGAGCUUGAUAGUUUGAUUUAGGCUUUAUUGCAUUUCUCCUUCAGACAGUAGAGAAUUCUAAAAGUCACACGCAAAAGGUUCAUUUAUGACUAUGCCUAGGUAGAAACGCAGAAUAUGACAUUUAUGUACAGAAUUGCAGAGUCUCCGAACAAUACAGCACCAGCCCUCCCCGAAAUAUCAAGGGUUCAUGGAUCAGCUACUUAUGGCAGCCGUGGC